GGGGUGUGAGUGAUUGCUGGACCCAGACUAGAAGAAGGCUAGUCUAUAAAAGAGGCUUACUGAAGCAUCUCUAAGGAUAACCCAAGAUGACCAAGAGCAGCCAAGAUUCAGGCACAAGGAGGUGAUGUUGACAUCAGUGGUUGAACUUUUUCCAUUUCUGAAGAUAUGUAAUUUGAGUUGACUCCCUUCUACCACUUUAGUGAUACUGGAUGUAUUCCUGUUGAGCAGAUGGAUUCCAAUCCAGGGGACCAUCUAGGAGCCAUGCUUGGAGACAGAGGACCCCCAGGUUGGGGUGAAGCACCCAACUUGCAUCCUGGGAGAGGAGAUGAGGGGACAGCAGUAAGAUUGAAUGCCAGUUGCACACACAGUGAAGCAGAUUAAGAAUAACAAGCUUGCCUCGGUGAAGCUGAUACUAUGAGGAUAUCCCUGGCCUUGUCCUAUCUGAUUUUAUUCAUCUGCCAGAAUUAGAAUUAGUGGUGUCAGAGGAAUGUGUACAACAGGCCCUUCAACCAGAGAAAAGCAUGUCCCAAAGAGAGGCAACCUCAGCCUCCUCUUGAGCAGAAAAGGGAGCACUUCUUGUUGCUGAAUGUGGUAAAUAGGUCCACCUUGGGAAGUCCCCACCUCUGAAGUGUCCUGUGAAGAAGUUGAGAGUCCAACUCCCUUUCGUAGCCCUUGGAGAAGCACCUGCUGAGCAUAUUAGCUGUGACAUUCUCGGCUCCAGGAAGGGAGAGGACUGAGAUCUGAAUCUGAUGGGCUAUACACCAGGUCCACAAUCUUAUAACUUUGGCGCACAGGGAGGGGAUCUUGCCAUUAUCCGUCAUGAUCCCGAUGGAUUUGCCCUUGAUGAGAGAGAUGAAUGGAAGACGGGCAUUCCUGACAGUGCUGAGUUCCAACAGGUGACUGGUUUCCUGAGAUGACCAUCUGCUCCGAGUUGUGAGGGUAUUGAGAUGCGCUCCCCACCCUAAUAGUGAUGUAUCCAUUGUCACAGUUAUUGUCAGAGCUGGGUGGAUGAAAGGGACAUCUGCACAGACAAUGAGUUGAUUCUUCCACCAGUCCAGAGCGUUAUUUACCUGGACGGGACUUGUCUGUCCAAGCUGUCUUUGGUUGAGGAAUAGUUCCUCUUGAACCAGCCUUGAAAGCAGUGGGGGGCAUAAUCUUGUGUAAUCAGUCAAAAGAUGCAAGUGGCCAUACAACCUAGGAGCUGCAAACAGUUCCUUACUUUAGUACAGUGGCUUCCUUGAAUCAGACUGAUUCAACAGAACUAACAAUUUUGUCCUUGGCAAGAAAGGCUGCCAAUGACAGUAAAUAUGUCCCUGUGAAUUGUAUUCUCUGUACAGGGGCUAUCUUGGACUGCUUCAUGUUUAGCCAGAGACCCAACUCCUGGAAAAGAGAGUGAGCUGUCUGGGUGGAAGUUAGUACUGCUUUGUAAGAUUGGCCUUUGAGGAGUCUGUCGUUGAGAUACAGAAAGACUAAAAUUGCUUCUUGCCGAAGGUAAACGGCCACUACUGCUAGAAUUUUUGAGAACACCCUUGGGACCAAAGAGAAGCCAAAGGGAAAUACACCUGUCCCAUGGUGGAAACACAGGUAUCUCUUGUGUGCAAGAUGUAUCGCUAUAUGGAAAUGGGCGUCCUUGUAGUCAAGUGUUGAAAACCAAUCUCCUGAUACUAGAGAGGGAAUUAUAGCUGCCAGAGUCGUCAUCCUGAACUUUUGAGGUUUUACAAAUUUGUUUGGUUGUUUUAGAUCUGAGGCCAGACCCACACCUUCCAUCCUUCUCUGGUACAAGAUAAUACUUUGAGUAAAACCCCUUUCCUGUGUGAGGGGAUGGGAUGUGUUCUGUUGCUCCUAAAUGAAGGCGGGAUUGUGCCUCAUGGCUCAGUAUAGUCUCGUGAGAGGAGUCCCUGAAGAUGGACAGGGUGGAGGGAUGUGAAGUGGAUGGUGCUCACCCACUUGUUUGUUGUAACAUGUCACCAGGCCUGUUUGAAAUGGAAGGUGGGCUCCAAAAGAGGAGAGGUGGUUGCUAGCUUGCAAACUGGAGCUGAGGGAGGUCAAACCUGUCAAAAAUACUGUUUUAAUGAUGGCUGGGCAGUCACUAAAGGAGAGUGAGAAGCUAGUUUCCUCUCGAACCCUUGUCUUUUUCUAGUAGCUUUGGUGGCUCUGUGAAAACUAGAGAACUGAGCUGGGUGUGAUCUCUGGGCAGCUUGAGACCUGCUAAAUCUCGUUUGUAAGGGUGUAUAUAUCCAGAGACCUGAACGUUGCCCUGGAGUCCUUCAGCAUGUGCAGGGACGCAUCUGGAGCUCCCAAGAAGAGCUUUUGAUUGUCCGAUGGGAGGUCCUCAACAUAUUCUGAACCUCCCUCAGAAACCCCAACGACUGGAGUCAUGACACCCUGCAUAUGCCAAACCCUGUGCAAAUGAAUCUAGCAGCAGCAUCUAAAGCAGGGGGGGGCAAACUUUUUUUGGCCCAAGGGCCACAUCACUGUAGGGAGGGUCGGGUUGGGAAGGCUGUACCUCCCCAAACAACCUGGCCCCUGCCCCCUCCCACUUCCCACCCCUGACUGCCCCCCUCAGAAUCCCUGACCCAUCCAACCUCCCCCCCCCAGGACCCCACCCUCUAACCAACCCCACCUGCUCCCUGCCCCCAACUACCCCGACCCCUAUCCACACCUCCAACCCCCCUGCUCCCCAUCCCCUGACUGCCCCCCCGAACCUCUGCCCCAUCGAACCGCCUUCUGCUCCUUGUACCCUGACUUAUCUAACUCCCCGCCCCCUUACCAUGCCACUCAGAGCGGCAGGACUGGAAGCCUCGCCGCCCGGCUAGAGCCAGCCAUGCUGUCCGCGCAACGAACAACACCUGCGGGGGAGGAGGGACGGCAGUGGAGGGGCGGGGGGCUAGCCUCCCCAGCCAGGAGCUCAAGGGCUGGGCAGAAUGAUCCUGGGGGCUGGAUCUGGCCUGCAGGCCAUAGUUUGCCCACCUCUGAUCCAAAGACACUUGAAGAGAGGUUCUGGCUAAUAACUGACCCUAUUUAAUGAUGGCCUGGAAGUGUUCUCUGUGCUUCUGUGGAAGAUGUUCAAUAAAGAAUGCAAACUUGUUAUAAUUUGUGCAAUCAUAGUUUGCAGCCCAAAAUUGGAGGGUUACAGAUGAGUAUGCCUUUCAUCCAAAAAGGUCUAACCUUUACUGGUUCUUA